UACGUAGGGUGCGAGCGUUAAUCGGAAUUACUGGGCGUAAAGCGUGCGCAGGCGGUUUUUGUAAGCCAGAUGUGAAAUCCCCGGGCUUAACCUGGGAAGUGCGCGGAAAACUGGCGAGCUUGAGUGCCGGAGAGGGUCGCGGAAUUCCCGGUGUAGAGGUGAAAUUCGUAGAUAUCGGGAGGAACACCAGUGGCGAAGGCGGCGACCUGGACGGACACUGACGCUGAGACGCGAAAGCGUGGGGAGCAAACAGG
rnacentral:rRNA from 1 species